UACGAAGGGGGCUAGCGUUGUUCGGAAUUACUGGGCGUAAAGCGCGCGCAGGCGGUCUUCCAAGUCAGUGGUGAAAGCCCGGAGCUCAACUCCGGAACUGCCAUUGAAACUGUGAGACUUAAGGAUGAGAGAGGUGAGUGGAAUUCCCAGUGUAGAGGUGAAAUUCGUAGAUAUUGGGAAGAACACCGGUGGCGAAGGCGGCUCACUGGCUCAUUUCUGACGCCUCAGGCGCGA
rnacentral:rRNA from 1 species